rnacentral:rRNA from 1 species
UAUGGUUCCUUGGAUCGUACAUACUACAUGGAUAACUGUAGUAAUUCUAGAGCUAAUACAUGCCACUAUGCCCUGACCCGCAAGGGAACGGGUGGAUUUAUUAGAACAGAACCAACCGGUUGUGGCUUUUGUCGCAGCCGUUGUACUCUGUGAUGACUCUGGAUAACUUUACUGAUCGCAGUCGGCCUUGUGUCGGCGACGGAUCCUUCAAAUGUCUGCCCUAUCAAUUGUCGAUGGUAGGUGAUCUGCCUACCAUGGUGAUAACGGGUAACGGGGAAUCAGGGUUCGAUUCCGGAGAGGGAGCCUGAGAAACGGCUACCACUUCUAAGGAAGGCAGCAGGCACGCAAAUUACCCAAUCCCGGCACGGGGAGGUAGUGACGAUAAAUACGGAUACGGGACUCAACAGAGGCUCCGUAAUUCGAAUGAGUACAAUUUA